AAGUCGACCGGUAGAGAGUGCUCCCAACGCGUGAGAUGCAUAACGUGAGUAAUCUAUAGAAUCACCUUGGUAAUAACGCUCGGAAACGGACGCUAAUACCGCAUACGUCCUACGGGAGAAAGCAGGGGACCUUCGGGCCUUGCGCUAUCAGAUGAGCCUAGGUCGGAUUAGCUAGUUGGUGAGGUAAUGGCUCACCAAGGCGACGAUCCGUAACUGGUCUGAGAGGAUGAUCAGUCACACUGGAACUGAGACACGGUCCAGACUCCUACGGGAGGCAGCAGUGGGGAAUAUUGGACAAUGGGCGAAAGCCUGAUCCAGCCAUGCCGCGUGUGUGAAGAAGGUCUUGUAAAGCACUUUAAGUUGGGAGGAAGGGCAUUAACCUAAUACGUUAGUGUUUUGCGUUACCGACAGAAUAAGCACCGGCUAACUCUGUGCCAGCAGCCGCGGUAAUACGAAUCACUAGUGAAUUCGCGGCCGCCUGCAGGUCGACCAUAUGGGAG
rnacentral:rRNA from 1 species